CAAGUAAGUGUGGGCCCUGCAAGGGAGGGGGUGGUGGCCAGACUCCCCUGGGGCCCAGCGGCCAGAUCUCCUGCACUGGUUCCCGAGCCUCAGUCCCUCUGCCAGGGAUACACUGAAAUCCGAUCCCGUCCUUUCCCGAGGACCCAAGAACACAGGUCCCUGGCCACCCUACCCCCAAAAGCUCCGCUUCCCGCUUUCUGGCUUUUCCCGCCCCGAUGAAACGCUUGAAUCCAGAUCCCGUUUCUUUGGAGAAGGCAGGCAUCCCAGACCCCGCAUUUGGCACACAUUAUGCAUCUCAGGAUGUGGCUUUCAGCUUCUCUCUCUCUCUCCUCAAGAAACCAGGAGUGCUGGCUGUCCCAGCAGAACCCCAGAAAGCUGCGAUUCGCAGCCAUCACACCCCUUGGUGACUAAGGACGCGAUUGCUGCCUUCCUUGAGAAUAUAACAAGUCUGGGUCCCUAGAACCUCUGCCUUGCAGGCUCCUGGGGUUUCACUCCUUGGCCCCACCCUCUCACGCCUGCGGUGGGGGGCUGUGGCCUGCAGGGCCCUCCUUCCCACACAGCCUUGUUCCUCCCUGCCUGGCUUGCUAUCUGCAGGCGUCUCGGGGUCCCUCACCACCUCUUCAGUCUUGGACCCAGAUCCAUGGGUCUCAGCCACGGGCCCUGCCCUGGCCCCAGCCUCGCCCUCGGGUCCCCCUCCUUUCCUCUUCAGUCCUGGGGACCUGCUCCCUGAAUCAGCAGAAUAUGGCCCUUGGAGGUCCCUGAAGGUGAGUCUCCACCGAGUGAAGGGAAGUACCCCUGAGAGUCUAGCAUUGUUCCUCUUUGCUGCUGCCCUUUUUGGCUCCUUUCUGGCGGGGCUGAGCUGACUGAUGCUCGCCCUACUUUGCAUGAGGCUCUGGGGCAGGAGAGGGGGCACAGAGCCGAAGCAUGUGACAUCACACCUGCUUUUACAGGAGUCUCCUAAGAUCUCCCAACAUUGGAGAGAGCCCAAGCCAAAGGGGAACUUGACAUACCACCAGUACAUGCCCCCGGGGCCGAGACAAGCGUCCAGGGUCGACCCCCAGGCCAAAAUGUUGGCUCUGGGUCCCCCUGGACCACCUCUGUGGGAAGGGACAAACUCCCAGCGGCCACCUCCUAGGUAUGCAUCCCGUUUUCGUUCUCUGCCGGAAAGUCAGGCCCGCAGCAUCUUGGACUCAAACCCAGAGUCCAAGAGCAGGGGAGUCUAGCCCCCAGCCCCUUCCUCUCCCAGUUUCCUGGUCCCUCUCCCGUCAGUUUCCAGGAGUCCUGGCUCCAGACCCAAGACACUGAGCCUCCGGUUCCUGCUCCCCAUGCACAGGGACUAGCCUCGUCGGAGACCCAGAACUUUGGGCCCUCUCCUUCCUCUUCACACGGCCCCCCCCCCCAACAACUACCACAGGAUGAAGCCCAUCCCCCUCACUCCCUCCCCGCCUGGAGUCCCCAGCGCCUCGCCCUCUCCACACAAGUUGGAACUUCAGACCCUUAAACUGGAGGAGCUGACGGUGAGUAUGGGGAGUACUUCCCAGGCUGGCCCUCUCCUUCGGGGGUGGGGGGGUUGCCCAUAAGUCUGAGCCCCCAGUCUCUGCCCCAUUGGAGAC
rnacentral:lncRNA from 1 species